rnacentral:misc_RNA from 1 species
AAGAAAUUAUAAGAGAGCAAUGUCUACACUCAAAUAUAGGCACCCAAAAUUUAUAUAGGAAGGUAAGGUGAUCAGUUGAAGUUAAACUGAUCCCCAAAUGCAGAGUUGCAACACCUUGUCAAAAGAGAAGCCAUGCCCAUACCGGCUCUGACUUAAACACUUGGUUCAAGUAAACAAAAGAACUUGAAACAAUUCAUAAAAAUGUUUUGGAAUUUAAAUUGGUUUAGUGCUUUUCUCAAGGUUGCUCUGGUUUCUUUUUGUAACUAACAGGGUAUGAGAAGUAAUGAUAAUUUAGAGGAAGUUGCCAUCCAGUGGCUGUAGUUUAG